GAACGCACAUUGCGCCCCUUGGUAUUCCGGGGGGCAUGCCUGUUCGAGCGUCAUUAUCACCCCUCAAGCUCAGCUUGGUGUUGGGGCCUGCCCGUCACAGGGCAGCCCUUAAAAGCAGUGGCGGUGCCAUCUGGCUCUAAGCGUAGUAAUACUUCUCGCUAUAGACGUUAGGUGGUGUCCUGCCAGAACCCCCCAUAUUUUUAAUGAUUGACCUCGGAUCAGGUAGGGAUACCCGCUGAACUUAAG
rnacentral:misc_RNA from 1 species